CCCCUAGAUGUUCUGGGCCGCACGCGCGCUACACUGAACAGUUCAACAAGUCUUAACCUUGGCCGAUAGGUCUGGGUAAUCUUUGAACGCUGUUCGUGAUUGGGAUAGACCUUUGCAAUUAUGGGUCUUCAACGAGGAAUUCCUAGUAAACGCAAGUCAUCAGCUUGCAUUGAUUACGUCCCUGCCCUUUGUACACGCCGCCCGUCGCACCUACCGAUUGAAUGGUCCGGUGAAAUCUCGGGACGGCGGCUUGGUCGCUUGCGUCCGACUGCUGAAACUUGAUUAAACCAUNUNAUUUAGNGGAAGGUGAANUCGUANCA
rnacentral:rRNA from 1 species